rnacentral:rRNA from 1 species
AUUGAACGCUGGCGGCAGGCCUAACACAUGCACGUAGAGCGGAUCGGCGGACGGGUGAGUAAUGCCUAUGAAUCUGCCUGGUAGUGGGGGAUAACGUCAGGAAACGGGCGCUAAUACCGCUUACUAUCAGAUGAGCCUAGGUCGGAUUAGCGAGGUGGUGGGGUAAAGGCCUAACAAGGCUACGAUCCGUAACUGGGCUGAGAGGUAGAUCAGUCACACGGGAACUGAGACACGGUCCAGACUCCUACGGGAGUCAGCAGUGGGGAAUAUUGGACAAUGGGCGAAAGCCUGAUCCAGCCAUGCCGCGUGUGUGAAGAAGGUCUUCGGAUUUUAAAGCACUUUCAGUUGGGAGGCGUUACCAACAGAAUAAGCACCGGCUAACUUCGUGCCAGCAGCCGCGGUAAUAC